AUCGAAGGAGGGAGAAAUGAAUCAUCCUUCAGAUGCGGCAGAGUGGAGAUAUUUCCAAGAGUUACAUUCCCGGUUUGCCGAAGAAUCCCGAAACGUUUAUCUUGGGUUGUGUACUUAUGGGUU
rnacentral:sRNA from 1 species